rnacentral:lncRNA from 9 species
UAAUAUUAUAACUGGUAAUAACAACAGGUAUUCACUGAGCACUUACUCUGGCCAGGUACUGCACAGAGCACUGUACACAUAUUUCUAAUUAUCCCAUAGACACUAAGGUACAUAUGAAGAGCAUCUCCUUACUAUGAUGGAGAUUUAAAGAUGUUAAUUUGCUCAUGGUCACACAGCUGUCAUUUGUCAGAGUUAAGACUAAGCCAGGGGUUUGCAAUCUCCUUUGGCAUGCAACAGUGAAUUAUGUAAAUGAGGCAGUAUCCAAUUUUUAAUUAAGAUCUUUAUUACUAAAUGUCGGCAUCACCAGCACUAACACAAAGAUAGGCCUGUGAUACUUUUUACAAGAUAUUUGCUGAAUUAGACAUUUUCCUACACUCUCAGCCUGGUAUGAAAAAUACAUACAGGGUUGUAAUAUAAUAUUAAUGGCUGCCUGAAGUGUUGUCAGAACACAAAUAAGGUGGGGAGGAUGGUGUCAGGGGAGGCUUACACAUAGGAUAGGGCAUUUUGAGGAGGGCUUUAAGGACUGAUUAGGAAACUGCUAAGCAUAACAGAAAGAAGUAUGCCAAACAGAGGGACUAGGAGGACCAAAGAUAUAGGUACAGAAAUAUGAGGAAUUCUGCAAAAAUAAUCAGCUUGUAUCAGUGGCUCUCAAAAUUAAGCAUUCAAUGGGAAUCAUCUGGAGGCUUGUGAAAUGCCCCAGAGCUUCAGAUUCAGUAGGACUGGGUGAGACCAAGAAUUUGCAUUCCUAAUGAUUCUCAGGUGCUGCUGAUCCUCCUUGUCCCAGGACAACACUGUGUUGAGAGCCCUGUUCUACAGAGAAAGAUGUCUGGAAACCCCAAAGUUUGUGUGUAUCUGAGAGGCGUGCCAAAGCCUGCAAGACUUGCACCAAAAGAAAAUUCCCGGAAGAGAUGAGAAUUUCUUCUCUUUCCUGCGAGAGUGGUGGUUCAAUUUUACUGUUGGUUUUGGGAGCAAUUCAUGCUGAAGCUGUCCAGUGGGAGGAAGCAGGGAAACCACAACUCCGGACUGAAAUGAGGGCACCUGGGAUUUUAUUGCCACUCUGCCCCAUCAGUGCCCCUAUUCACGCGCCACUGAGGGCCUGCGGCUACAGAGGAGGAAGCACACUGGCUCUUUUGUGUUUGCAUCCAACUUGCAGGGACGAUGGCAUUUGUCAGAGCUCUUCCUCCAGUUUUCAUCCUUUGUCCGCUGACCACAGAGCCAUGCGUCAAGUAACGAGAGCCCCACGGACAACAAAUGAGAAAUACCAGAAAAGCGAUGCUUGCCAGCUGUGGGCACCUCAGGCCCAGGCGCCUUUUGAAGUCAAUGGGAGGUAAGCUGUUCUUUCUGACCCUUCUUGCAGCAGAGAUGGGGAAAUGAAUUGUUAGCGGAUGUGCAGAAUGACCCAGCUAGAGUCAGCUGAUCAUGGGCUACUAGCCAGCCUGAAAAUCAUCUAAAUCCCAAUGGCCUGCCUCUGUGAGAUGUGGAUUUGCAGAAGACUCACUCAAGCCAUUUCAUUUCUUUUCUCCUGUUAGACCUUACAGAAUUUGCAGAUCACCAAAUUUUAUGCAAACACACACACACACACAUAUUUUAUGGCUGCACCUGUGGCCUAUGGAAAUUCCCAGCCAGGGACUGAAUCCAAGCCACAGCUGCAGCAACAACGAAUCCUUUAACACACUGCCCCAGGCCAGGGAUUGAACCUGCACCUCCACAGCAGCCUAAGCCACUGUAGUCAGGUUCUUAACCCACUGCAUUACAGUGGGAACUCCCCAAAUAAUUCUUGAAUAUGGAUUUAUAUGCCAUCACCAACAAUAUUCUUUCAUGGACCAGGAAUCUAUUUCAGUGGUAAACACAAGUUUGUGGAAUAACGUUUGAAGCAAGAGGUAUCACAGGGGCUGACAGCAAAUAUCGAAAAGCCAGAAAACUCAUCUCCCCCUCAUUCAUCUAGUGAGUGCCUUCUCAUUCUCUGACUGUUUGCUUACCUGUCAUUCCCUGUUCAGCCUCCUCCCCUAGACUAAGUGAGUGUUCCCCUAGAACCUUAUGGUUUCCUUUUUGUAGCACUUAUUACAUUUAUAAUUAUUAAUACCUGUCUUCCCCACGAGGUCCAUAAUACCCAUGGGAACUGAGACUGCACUAGUCUUACCCACAGAUCCCCAGGACCUAGAAGGGUGUUGUGUUGUGUGCAACAGCAAAUACUUACUGAAUGAUGAAUGAACACUGAAGGUUCUCAGCAUCAAAUCCUAG